UACUUAAGGUGCGAACGUUGUUCGGAAUCACUGGGCAUAAAGAGCACGUAGGCGGCUUCGUAAGUCUGAUGUGAAAUCCCCCGGCUUAACCGGGGAACUGCAUCGGAUACUGCGGGGCUGGAGUGCAGUAGGGGAGAGUGGAAUUCCAGGUGGAGCGGUGAAAUGCGUAGAUAUCUGGAGGAACACCAGUGGCGAAAGCGGCUCUCUGGACUGCAACUGACGCUGAGGUGCGAAAGCCAGGGGAGCAAACGGG
rnacentral:rRNA from 1 species